rnacentral:rRNA from 1 species
ACCCGCUGAACUUAAGCAUAUCAAUAAGCGGAGGAAAAGAAACCAACAGGGAUUGCCCUAGUAACGGCGAGUGAAGCGGCAACAGCUCAAAUUUGAAAAUUCUGGCUCUUUCAGAGUCCGAGUUGUAAUUUGCAGAGGGCGCUUUGGCGUUGGCAGCGGUCCAAGUUCUUUGGAACAGGACGUCACAGAGGGUGAGAAUCCCGUACGUGGUCGCUAUCCUUCGCCGUGUAAAGCCCCUUCGACGAGUCGAGUUGUUUGGGAAUGCAGCUCUAAAUGGGAGGUAAAUUUCUUCUAAAGCUAAAUACUGGCCAGAGACCGAUAGCGCACAAGUAGAGUGAUCGAAAGAUGAAAAGCACUUUGGAAAGAGAGUCAAAUAGCACGUGAAAUUGUUGAAAGGGAAGCGCUUGCAGCCAGACUUGCCUGUAGUUGCUUAUCCGGACUUUUGUCCGGUGCACUCUUCUAUGGGCAGGCCAGCAUCAGUUUAGGCGGUUAGAUAAAGGUCUCUGUCACGUACCUCUCUUCGGGGAGGCCUUAUAGGGGAGACGACAUGUAACCAGCUUAGACUGAGGUCCGCGCAUCUGCUAGGAUGCUGGCGUAAUGGCUGUAAGCGGCCCGUCUUGAAACACGG